rnacentral:rRNA from 1 species
GGAUGAAUGUUGGCGGUGUGCCUAAUACAUGCAAGUCGAACGAAGAGAGUAGCAAUACAAUCUUAGUGGCGAACGGGUGAGUAACGCGUUGGUGAUCUGCCUCGAAGUGUGGAAUAACCUCCCGAAAGGGAAGCUAAUACCGCAUGGUCUCUCAGGGUUUAGAAAUCUGAGAGUAAAGGAUUUAUUCACUUCGGGAGGGGCCUGCGUCCCAUCAGCUAGUUGGUAAGGUAAUGGCUUACCAAGGCAACGACGGGUAGGGGACCUGAGAGGGUGACCCCCCACAAUGGAACUGAAACACGGUCCAUACACCUACGGGUGGCAGCAGUAGGGAAUAUUGACAAUGGGCGAAAACCUGAUGCAGCAACACCGCGUGCGCGAUGAAGGCCUUCGGGUUGUAAAGCGCUUUUCUGAGGGAAGAGAAAGGACGGUACCUCAGGAAUAAGUCUCGGCUAACUACGUGCCAGCAGCCGCGGUAACACGUAGGAGGCAAACGUUAUCCGGAUUUACUGGGCGUAAAGCACGUGUAGGCGGUUUGGUAAGUUGGAUGUGAAAGCUCCCGGCUCAACUGGGAGAGGUCGUUCAAUACUGCCAGACUAGAGGACGGUAGAGGAAGGUGGAAUUCCCGGUGUAGUGGUGAAAUGCGUAGAUAUCCGGAGGAACACCAGUGGCGAAGGCGGCCUUCUGGGUCGUUCCUGACGCUCAGACGCGAAAGCAUGGGUAGCGAACGGGAUUAGAAACCCCGGUAGUCCAUGCCGUAAACGAUGCAGACUUGGUGUUGGUGGCGUAAAAACCAUCAGUGCCGAAGCUAACGCGAUAAGUCUACCGCCUGGGGACUACGGCCGCAAGGCUAAAACUCAAAGGAAUUGACGGGGGCCCGCACAAGCGGCGGAGCAUGUUGCUUAAUUCGAAGCAACGCGAAGAACCUUACCUGGGUUUGACAUGUAGGGAAAAGCCAUAGAGAUAUGGUGUCCUUUUGGGCUCUACACAGGUGGAGCAUGGCUGUCGUCAGCUCGUGUCGUGAGAUGUUGGGUUAAGUCCCGCAACGAGCGCAACCCUUAUCCUAUGUUGCCAGCGCGUAAUGGCGGGGACUCGUGGGAGACUGCCGGGGUCAACUCGGAGGAAGGUGGGGACGACGUCAAGUCAUCAUGCCCCUUAUAUCCAGGGCUGCAAACAUGCUACAAUGGCCAGUACAAAGGGCUGCUAUACCGCGAGGUUGAGCGAAUCCCAUAAAGCUGGUCUCAGUUCGGAUUGGAGUCUGCAACUCGACUCCAUGAAGUCGGAGUCGCUAGUAAUCCCGGAUCAGCAACGCCGGGGUGAAUACGUUCCCGGGCCU